AUCUCUUUUGGAUUUUGAUGGGCAUUUUUUUCCUUCAUGCAGAAGGUGUGAAAAUUAACUAAGUUGUGGUACAACUAUGAGAUGCUGCACCCUCAGGUAAAAAACCGGUUUGUAUUGUUUUGAUUGUCCUUAAUUGACAUGGACAAGAGGUAUCUUCACAACUAUAGGUGAGUUAAAGAGUUUAUCUGAGUCAGCUGUGAGUGGACAGUAUCAAAGUAAUUCAGGUGUUUGUUUAUUUUUGCACCUUCUGCAGAAAGGAAAAAA
rnacentral:lncRNA from 1 species